rnacentral:rRNA from 1 species
UACAGAGGGGGCAAGCGUUAUUCGGAAUUAUUGGGCGUAAAGGGCGCGUAGGCGGCUUUGCAAGUGACGGGUGAAAUCCCUCGGCUUAACCGAGGAACUGCCUGUCAGACUGCAUUGCUUGAGUCCGGGAGAGGUGAGUGGAAUUCCCAGUGUAGCGGUGAAAUGCGUAGAUAUUGGGAGGAACACCAGUGGCGAAGGCGGCUCACUGGACCGGAACUGACGCUGAGGCGCGAAAGCUAGGGGAGCAAACAGG